rnacentral:rRNA from 1 species
UACGUAGGGUGCAAGCGUUGUCCGGACUUAUUGGGCGUAAAGAGCUCGUAGGCGGUUUGUCGCGUCGAAUGUGAAAACCCGGGGCUCAACCCCGGGCCUGCAUUCGAUACGGGCAGACUAGAGUUCGGUAGGGGAGUCUGGAAUUCCUGGUGUAGCGGUGAAAUGCGCAGAUAUCAGGAGGAACACCGGUGGCGAAGGCGGGACUCUGGGCCGAUACUGACGCUGAGGAGCGAAAGCGUGGGGAGCAAACAGG